AACCUGCCCAGCAGAGCGACCAGAGAACGUGUUUAUCAUGAACGGGGUAGGGGUGAAAGCCCCUUCCUCGAGCGGGGGAAUCGCUUCGCCUCGGCGGGGCGUCCUCCCCGGCACAAUAACGAACCCCGGCGCGGUCUGCGCCAAGGAACAUCAAUACAAGUGUGCCCUUCCGCAACUGGUUCGCCGGUCGCGGACGUGGCACCAAGUCGUAUAUAACAUUAAACGACUCUCGGCAACGGAUAUCUCGGCUCUCGCAUCGAUGAAGAACGUAGCGAAAUGCGAUACUUGGUGUGAAUUGCAGAAUCCCGUGAACCAUCGAGUCUUUGAACGCAAGUUGCGCCCGAAGCCAUUAGGUAGAGGGCACGCCUGCCUGGGCGUCACGCAUCGCGUCUCCCCCCACCACCAUGUGUGGAAGGGGCGGAGGAUGAUGGCCUCCCAUGCCUCACCGGGCGUGGAUGGCCUAAAUAAGGAGCCCCCGGUUACGAAGUGCCGCGGCAAUUGGUGGAAUACAAGGCCUAGCCUAGGACGAAACGGUAGUCGUGCACAUCGUAGCUGUUGAGGACUCGUAGGACCCUUUCUUGUUUGCCCCUAGGGGCGGCAAAACCGUUGCGA
rnacentral:rRNA from 1 species